rnacentral:rRNA from 1 species
UACGUAGGGUGCAAGCGUUAAUCGGAAUUACUGGGCGUAAAGCGUGCGCAGGCGGUUUUGUAAGUCUGUCGUGAAAGCCCCGGGCUCAACCUGGGAAUUGCGAUGGAGACUGCAAGGCUUGAAUCUGGCAGAGGGGGGUAGAAUUCCACGUGUAGCAGUGAAAUGCGUAGAGAUGUGGAGGAACACCGAUGGCGAAGGCAGCCCCCUGGGUCAAGAUUGACGCUCAUGCACGAAAGCGUGGGGAGUAAACAGG